UACGUAGGGUGCGAGCGUUGUCCGGAAUUACUGGGCGUAAAGAGCUCGUAGGUGGUUUGUCACGUUGUCCGUGAAAACUCACAGCUUAACUGUGGGCGUGCGGGCGAUACGGGCAGGCUGGAGUACUGUAGGGGAGACUGGAAUUCCUGGUGUAGCGGUGGAAUGCGCAGAUAUCAGGAGGAACACCGGUGGCGAAGGCGGGUCUCUGGGCAGUAACUGACGCUGAGGAGCGAAAGCGUGGGGAGCGAACAGG
rnacentral:rRNA from 1 species